rnacentral:rRNA from 1 species
AGUGAACGCUGGCGGUAGGCCUAACACAUGCAAGUCGAACGGCAGCACAGUAAGAGCUUGCUCUUACGGGUGGCGAGUGGCGGACGGGUGAGGAAUACAUCGGAAUCUACUUUUUCGUGGGGGAUAACGUAGGGAAACUUACGCUAGUACCGCAUACGACCUACGGGUGAAAGCAGGGGAUCUUCGGACCUUGCGCGAUUGAAUGAGCCGAUGUCGGAUUAGCUAGUUGGCGGGGUAAAGGCCCACCAAGGCGACGAUCCGUAGCUGGUCUGAGAGGAUGAUCAGCCACACUGGAACUGAGACACGGUCCAGACUCCUACGGGAGGCAGCAGUGGGGAAUAGUGGACAAUGGGCGCAAGCCUGAUCCAGCGAUACCGCGUGGGUGAAGAAGGCCUUCGGGUUGUAAAGCCCUUUUGUUGGGAAAGAAAAGCAGCAGGUUAAUACCCCGCUGUUCUGACGGUACCCAAAGAAUAAGCACCGGCUAACUUCGUG